rnacentral:rRNA from 1 species
GACGAACGCUGGCGGCGUGCUUAACACAUGCAAGUCGAACGGAAAGGCCCUGCUUUUGUGGGGUGCUCGAGUGGCGAACGGGUGAGUAACACGUGAGUAACCUGCCCUUGACUUUGGGAUAACUUCAGGAAACUGGGGCUAAUACCGGAUAGGAUCUCCUGCUGCAUGGUGGGGGUUGGAACGUUUCGGCGGUUGGGGAUGGACUCGCGGCUUAUCAGCUUGUUGGUGGGGGAGUGGCUUACCAAGGCUUUGACGGGUAGCCGGCCUGAGAGGGUGACCGGCGACAUUGGGACUGAGAUACGGCGCAGACUCCUACGGGAGGCAGCAGUGGGGAAUAUUGCACAAUGGGCGGAAGCCUGAUGCAGAAACGCCGCGUGCGGGAUGACGGCCUGCGGGUUGUAAACCGCUGUCGCCUGUGACGAAGCGUGAGUGACGGUAAUGGGUAAAGAAGCACCGGCUAACUACGUG